GGGCGGAUAGCUCAGCUGGGAGAGCGCAGCCCUUACAAGGCUGAGGUCACAGGUUCAAUCCCUGUUCCGCCUACCA
rnacentral:tRNA from 1 species